AAUACACCAGUGGCUUUCCUCAUUCUCCAGUGUGUCAGUAUAUUGGACUUCUCAGACUCCAUGAUUACAAAGGCAGAAGCUCUCUAGAUGUCUUCCAGUAACGUUGAAGUUUUUAUCAGAAUGUUGCAAGGAAACACCAAUUGGGUCACCUGGGAUGACCUUCAAUGACCUGAAGACAUUUACUGAAGGAGCUGUGUUAAGUUUUUAUAACAUCUUUUAUUGAGUAAAAGUGAAGAGCAGCUUUUUACUUGGUUGAAACCAGUUGAGAAAGAAAUUCUAUCAAAUAUCAAACCGAGUCUCACUCUUACUCAGGCUGGAGUGCAGUGGCGUGAUCUCAGCUCUCUGCAACCUCCACUUCCCAGGUUCAAGCUAUUCUCGUGCCUCAGCCCCCUGAGUAGGUGGGACUACAGCAUCUGCUUCUUAGAGACCCAC